rnacentral:lncRNA from 1 species
AGGAGCGUUUGUGAGGGUAUGGGUGUGCCGGAGAGGACAUCAGCCCUGGUAAGAAAAGUGAAGGUCAGGAGGGGGAUGGGGAACAGCCUAAAGGAGGAGAACAUGGAGAAGGGUGAGAUUCUGAGAAAGGCAUACUACCUUCGGCCCUUCAACCAUUCUCUGAGUCAAUCCCUGGGAGGCAGGCCACUAUUCCUCAUCUAUAGAUGAGAAAACCGAGGCUCAGAAAUGGACAGCUCUGGACCACACCUCACAGUGCCUGGGGAGCAGCCCAGGGGAGAUGGCAGGCAGGUGGAGAAGGAAGUGGUGGCACACUGGGACAGUUGGCACAGGUGCAGGAGGAGCAGGCCAGGCCAAGCCACCGAAUCGGGAGCCAGGGCAGUCUCCCACAAAACUUUCUCUCCCUGGACCAUGGGGCAGUGCAAGGAGGACAGGAAGCUGGGUGGAAGGACUGCAAAGGAGACUGCUUUUCCUGCUACCCUCAGGUACUGAAGCCCAAGUAAGAGUUUUCAGUAGAGAGGGAGUAGACUGAGUGUUGGGCCCUAGGACUGGGCUUCCCUGGGUACUAUCCCAACCCCUGAGCCUCGGGAGAGGUGGAAAUGACCUUCCUCUGCACCGGCAUGCCCAGAGAAGAGAGCCUGGAGCUGAGACUUGCAACUUCUAGAAAACAAACACAAAACUGAGGCCAAGAGAGUGCUGACUACUAUUACCAACAAAAUUCAUUAAACACAAUUUUAAAAAAUCAUGAAAUUCUAGAUUCAUGGAGUUCACAGUUAUGGAAUCUUAGCAUCACAGAAUUCCAGCAUGGUAAAAUCUGGGUUAUAGAAACUAAGAAAUUCAGAAUUGUGGCAUUACUGAGUUCCAGAUGACAAAAUUAGAAUAUCCUUGAAAUGGACAUCUUGAGA